AACGAACGCUGGCGGCGCGUUUUAAGCAUGCAAGUCGAGCGGCAAGGGCCUUCGGGCCCCUAGAGCGGCGGACGGGUGAGUAACACGUGGACAAUCUGCCCCCCGGUCCGGGAUAGCCCGAGGGAAACCUGGAGUCAAUACCGGGAUGCGAGCGCGAGCACACAGGUGCUUGCGGGGAAAGGCGCUUCGGCGUCGCCGGGGGGAAUGAGUCCGCGGCCCAUUAGCUAGACGGCGGGGUAAAGGCCCACCGUGGCGAUGAUGGGUAGCCGGCCUGAGAGGGUGAUCGGCCACACUUGGAACUGAGACA
rnacentral:rRNA from 1 species